rnacentral:rRNA from 1 species
GACGUAGGAUGCGAGCGUUGUCCGGAUUUAUUGGGCGUAAAGAGUUCGUAGGUGGUUCAUUAAGUCUGGUGUUAAAGACCGGGGCUCAACCUCGGGACCGCACUGGAUACUGGUGGACUAGAGUGCAGUAGAGGCAAGCGGAAUUCCAGGUGUAGCGGUGAAAUGCGUAGAUAUCUGGAAGAACACCGGUGGCGCAAGCCGGCU